rnacentral:tRNA from 1 species
GACUGGUUAGCUCACUUGGUUAGAGUGUGAUGCUAACAACACCAAGGUCAAGGGUUCGAUCCCUGUACAGGCCA